AAUGGGUUAAUUAUAAUGAC
rnacentral:miRNA from 1 species